GUUAGCAGUGUCAAUCUGUUGAGGAUAAGAACUGUUUUAGGUAAUCCACAGUUACAUUCAAACACACAUAUAAAUAGUCCUCCAGUGUAUCACAUGUCCCUGUAAAACAUUGUGCAAUCCAAACGAACAGUGGUCCUUUAUGUAAUGCCUUUCUUUCUUUAUAACUAGUGUUAAUAAAUAAGCUUUAGCCUUUGUCUUUGCUUAUAGACAUCAAGAAUCUGAUUUCAAGCCAGGGCUCACACAGACUUGAUGUAAAGUCUAAAUGAGGAGAGUGGUAAUGCUGGCGAAUGCGCUGCGAUGGGACCGCCACCUGUCUGGAUUGCAGGAGAUAUAUUGUUUGUCAAGCUUCAAGUUUAAAUCCAAGUAACUGUGGACAGCUGACGGGAAGCAACUGUGAAUCGAUCCUGGGAAUGAACAUGUAUUUGAGUCAUUUGGCUGGUUUAUGUCUCCUGUGUAGAGGUGUAGCUUCACAAAAUGCCUACUGCCUGCAGGAAGAACUCCCUCCGAACAGAUUCUCUACCUGAGCAUCAGGGAAGGAAAUAAAUCUGGAACUGGUGACAUUUCAAGGACAAGGAAAACAACCGCUCGGAGAAUUAUCUGAUUCCGUUGGUGUUUAUUUUUACUUAUAUCUAGCAAUCUGCGCUCCAACAGAAGAUGCUUAUUUGCAGAAAAGAAGGCUGUCUCCUGUCUGGACUGGUGCCUGGUCUGGAGAAAAGAUGGCACUAAGGACAAGAGCAACUUCCAACUGCCUGUACCCAUAAAAUGGUGGAAAAUAAAGGGACUGAAAGCAGCAUGAAGGGACGUAAGAGUCUGGAAAAGAACAUCUAUUUUCUCCACAGUGAAGCAAGUUUUAAUCCAAGUUUUGUUUUACUACUCCAUUGAAGACAACAUACUGUAUGUUUUUCACAUUUUCUGUGCUGUAAACAAGGAAACUGGAUUAUUUAACUUUUAAUUUCAUUUAAUCAUCCUCUCAUACCUCACAUUUAUCUGUUUGCUUAUUACCAUAUUAUCUAUGGAUGCAGCAGCUAAAUGUCAUUAUUUUUAUUGUACAAAUAGGGCACUCAGAAACAAAAUGCUUAUCCAAGUAGGCCAGUGGCAGAGGUAGAAAUAUAACUGUGGGUUAAUGUCCAGUAACAAAAAAAAAAAUGGGAUUUUCAUCUACAGUGCUCUUGGAUUUAAAAUAUUAUUUUGCCUGGUUCAAAGACACUGUAUUAUGUCUCCACAUGGCUUUUUCUUAGAGCUGUGCAGCUGGAGUACUAGUGUUCUGAAAUGUCCCAACUGAAUUUCAAAUGAAUAUCAGAAAUAGGCACGGAUAUACAUGAUACAUGCAGAAUAUGUAUCUAGGGAAAUCACAGAAGAUCUAGUUUCCACUAGUUGGUUAUACAUAAAUUAUUUAGGCAAUCUUCAUAAGCCUGUUGAUUAGCUGGAGGCAGAUAUCUAUUUUAGGUGUACUUAGGGUCAGGAUUAACUCACAAAACUUGGAUGGCAUUGUCCAUAAAACAGCUAGAAUUAUUUCAGCAAUCUCAUCUGAAAAUGAGGUGUUCUCCUUUAUCACUUUUAAAUAUAUGUAUUUUAGCUUUCCCUAACGAAGAGGAUGACAUUUCUGGAAAUGAUGUGUUAAAUGUCUUACAAAGUUAUACUAGAAACUAUUUAGGUGACUGGAGAAAGAACAGGACUGAGAGCCAGGAGACUAUUUCUAUUUCUAGUUCUGCCAUAGAUUUUGUGACUUUGAACCUCAGCUCGUGCUUCUGUGAAAUGGGGAUGAUAAUAUUUACUGUUCUCUCAGGGAUAUUUUGUAAUGCAAUUUUCAUGGUGGUCUCUGAAAUGCCUGAGAUCCUUGAUUACAGUGUUCAAAUGAAAGCAAUUACUAAGAUAAUAGUAUCAGCAUGAUUAUUGAUGAUAAAAAAUAAUGUUUGAUAAUGUUAUUGAUGUUAAAUUAUGAGCUUGAUAGCGUGGUUCUCAAAAAAAAAAAGCCCAACCUGUUCAUAUCAGGAAGAUCGUUGUAACACACUUCUAGGAACAAGAAUGCUGCCAGCAUAGUUGCAACAUGAGUGGAAAAGAAUCUGUGAAGCUCUCUGUCUGAGCAAUUGUAGGAGGCAGAAAUGAAUAUCUUUUCAAUAAUGCUUUGUGACAGAGGAGCAGAAGCAGCUUUAGAGCUUAACACUAUUUUUAAAAUAUGACUCAGGAGAGGUUUUCUUUUUCUAACUGAGCUGGGGAAAAAAAAACACAAAAACCACCCAAGAGUCAAACAAUCUUUUAGAAAGCUGGAACCUUUCAAUAAAACAACUAUUGUAGGUCAGGAUAAUUUGAAUUUGCAUACAACACCAUUGACAAACACAGAAGAGAUCUAUGCAUAAUAAACAGAGAAAAACAGAUCUGAUAUAUUGGAAACCUUGAGUUCUGAGAGAUUAAUGAAUUGCCCCUUCC
rnacentral:lncRNA from 1 species